rnacentral:rRNA from 1 species
GAUGAACGCUGGCGGCAUGCCUAAUACAUGCAAGUCGAGCGAACAGACGAGGAGCUUGCUCCUCUGACGUUAGCGGCGGACGGGUGAGUAACACGUGGAUAACCUACCUAUAAGACUGGGAUAACUUCGGGAAACCGGAGCUAAUACCGGAUAAUAUAUUGAACCGCAUGGUUCAAUAGUGAAAGACGGUUUUGCUGACACUUAUAGAUGGAUCCGCGCCGCAUUAGCUAGUUGGUAAGGUAACGGCUUACCAAGGCAACGAUGCGUAGCCGACCUGAGAGGGUGAUCGGCCACACUGGAACUGAGACACGGUCCAGACUCCUACGGGAGGCAGCAGUAGGGAAUCUUCCGCAAUGGGCGAAAGCCUGACGGAGCAACGCCGCGUGAGUGAUGAAGGUCUUCGGAUCGUAAAACUCUGUUAUUAGGGAAGAACAAAUGUGUAAGUAACUAUGCACGUCUUGACGGUACCUAAUCAGAAAGCCACGGCUAACUACGUG